rnacentral:misc_RNA from 1 species
UUUUACUUAUUUUAUUUCAAGACUAUUAUCAAAAAAUUCAAAUGCAGAUGUUCAGUUUAAUGUUUUUUGGCUGCAUGGUUAGAUUGUUUAAAACAAAUAAAGUACUGUGUGUUUAGUUUUUCUACUUAGCAAAUUAAAAAGGGGUUUAAAAUGUCAACACUACCAUCUUUUGCAUCAUUUUUUGAGGAAAACCCUUCAAUUAAAAAGCAAAAAAAAAUCACUAUACACGUCCAUGAUGAAAUUAAAAACACGAUGAGAGAUUUUAAAUGUUCGGGAUAUCUUCUUUUAAAAGAAAUGCCCUACUUUAGAGAUUAUUUGCCUAUAAAUCAUCAUCAAUGGGAUAAUAUUGAUAUUACAGUUCAUUGUGAUGUGAAUAUUUUUCAAUGGUUGAUUAAUUAUAUAAAAAAGAAAGGUGGCGAAGAAUUAAAAUUAGAUGUUAAUAAUAUUGUUCCAUUAUUAUUGUCGUCAGAAUUUCUAAAGAUGAAUAGCUUAGUCAAGAAAUGCAUCAGUUUUUGCUGUAGUCAUUUGAAUGAUGUCAUAGCUGCAUCCAAUAACAUGCAUGGCAUAAGUGACAAGAUAGUAUAUAGAAUUGCAUCUCGAUUCGACCAAAGACAAAUAUAUCAGCUUCAAGAUAAUGAUGAUAAAUUUAAAAGUAGGUUGUUUCGUGUGAAGCUUGAUGAAAUCUUUAAAUCUGAUUAUUCUACCGAACUAUCACCAAAUAAUGCAUCUACUUUGUUUAGGUGUCUUGUCUGUGGAAAGUAUCUUUUGGCAUAUAUCUGUAAUCAAAUUUCAUGUUCAAUUGAUAGAAUGACAAUUGAUAGCUAUGGCAACAUACGCUGGUGCCAUGAAAGGGAUUCCUUAUGGUCAUCUGCAGAUUAUUUGUCGAUGCUAAAAGAGGAGUUAAAAUCUUGGACUCUUGUCUACUGGAGUAAUAAUCAACCAAAAAAUUGGACUAAAUCAAAAUUUACCUUUAUGGUCACAAAUUUACCCAGGGGAGCACUGUGUGAUGGAAAUAAUAUUAAUACAGAGAUUAUCAAGCAUAUAUCAUGAAGUUUUAAUUGACAAAAAUAAAACGCAUCAUCAUGUAACAAACUUUUCUCGCUUUAAUUUUGGCAAAGUCUUUCAAAAAAGAAUCGAUUUCAAUAGUACUAAUAACUUGGUGUUCAAUUGCUAAUGUCGCCAUCCACAUAAGCGGUCCUGAGAAAUGGUCAAUCAAAGGACAUCCCUGGUACAAACCUGUGUUUGCCAUUACUUUAUUGACUGAUAUGUAAAUAUGGAGUAACCUGUGUGAAUAGACAUGCUUAUGACUUCAGUUUUACUGGAUUUUUCUUUACAGUUUCCGUGCUCCGACUGACGUUGGAAUAAUCUUGUUUGCUGUGAGAUGUUUCUUCAUCUUAUCGUCAGUAUGUCAUGAAAAAAACGAGUCAACUAACCUGUUUUGAAUUUGUCUAAUAUAUCCAAAUACGUGAAAAAAACGAGUCAA